UACGGGGGGGGCAAGCGUUGUUCGGAAUUACUGGGCGUAAAGGGCUCGUAGGCGGCCAACUAAGUCAUACGUGAAAUCCCUCGGCUUAACUGGGGAACUGCGUGUGAUACUGGAUGGCUUGGAUUUGGGAGAGGGAUGCGGAAUUCCAGGUGUAGCGGUGAAAUGCGUAGAUAUCUGGAGGAACACCGGUGGCGAAGGCGGCAUCCUGGACCAAUAUUGACGCUGAGGAGCGAAAGCCAGGGGAGCAAACGGG
rnacentral:rRNA from 1 species